rnacentral:rRNA from 1 species
ACUCAAAUGAAUAGACGGGGGCCCGCACAAGCGGUGGAGCAUGCGGUUUAAUUCGAUGCAACGCGAAGAACCUUACCUGCUCUUGACAUCUUCGGAAUCCUCCAGUAAUGGGGGAGUGCCUUCGGGAACCGAAAGACAGGUGCUGCAUGGCUGUCGUCAGCUCGUGUCGUGAGAUGUUGGGUUAAGUCCCGUAACGAGCGCAACCCUCGUCCUUAGUUGCCAACACGUAAUGGUGGGAACUCUAAGGAGACCGCCGGUGAUAAACCGGAGGAAGGUGGGGAUGAUGUCAAGUCAUCAUGGCCCUUACGAGCAGGGCUACACGCGUGCUACAAUGGACGGUACAAAGGGUUGCCAAGCCGCAAGGUGGAGCUAAUCCCAAAAAGCCGUUCGUAGUCCGGAUUGGAGUCUGCAACUCGACUCCAUGAAGUUGGAAUCGCUAGUAAUCGCGAAUCAGAACGUCGCGGUGAAUACGUUCUCGGGCCUUGUACACACCGCCCGU